UUUCCGUAGGUGAACCUGCGGAAGGAUCAUUAACAAAAAGGUGCGUGAGAUGGGAGGGAAGGGGAGAGGGAGGGACAGGGGGAAGGGAGAGAGGAAAAGAGGGAUUGCGCAGCAGCGCGAUUUCUCGUUCUCUCUCCUUUGCUCCUUCUCGCUCUCUCGCCUCAUUUCUCUCGUUUCCGCGACAUUUGCGCCUUGGUCGGACCGACCAAAGGUCGGGGGAGUGGGGAUGGGAGAAAAAGUGGAUUCGGCGAGAUUCAAAUAUCACGCGGAAUCGACUUUUUCUCACUCUCCGCGCCCCCAGCACAUAGACACGAUUGCUUGCUUGUCUGUCAUCUCAUACACAUCUCAAAUACUUACAACUUUUAACAAUGGAUCUCUUGGCUCUU
rnacentral:misc_RNA from 1 species